rnacentral:rRNA from 1 species
GAGAAUCUUUCGCAAUGGGGGAAACCCUGACGACGCGACGCCGCGUGGAGGCUGAAGGCCUUCGGGUUGUAAACUCCUGUCAGCAGGGGAGAACAAGCUUUUGAUGAAUAAUCGAGAGCUUUGACAGUACCUGCAGAGGAAGCCACGGCUAACUCUGUGCCAGCAGCCGCGGUAAUGCAGAGGUGGCAAGCGUUGUUCGGAUUUAUUGGGCGUAAAGGGUCCGUAGGCGGCCUGAAAAGUUGGAUGUGAAAUCCCACAGCUUAACUGUGGAACUGCAUUCAAAACUCUCAGGCUCGAGUGUGAUAGGGGUAAAGGGAAUUCCCGGUGUAAGGGUGAAAUCUGCAGAGAUCGGGAGGAACACCAGUCGCGAAGGCGCUUUACUUGAUCACUACUGACGCUGAGGGACGAAAGCCAGGGGAGCAAACG